UACGAAGGGGGGCUAGCGUUGUUCGGAAUCACUGGGCGUAAAGCGCACGUAGGCGGACCGUUAAGUCGGAGGGUGAAAGCCUGGGGCUCAACCCCAGAACUGCCUUCGAUACUGGCGGUCUUGAGUAUGGUAGAGGUUGGUGGAACUCCGAGUGUAGAGGUGAAAUUCGUAGAUAUUCGGAAGAACACCAGUGGCGAAGGCGGCCAACUGGACCAUUACUGACGCUGAGGUGCGAAAGCGUGGGGAGCAAACAGGG
rnacentral:rRNA from 1 species